rnacentral:rRNA from 1 species
AGUGAACGCUGGCGGUAGGCCUAACACAUGCAAGUCGAACGGCAGCACAGUAAGAGCUUGCUCUUACGGGUGGCGAGUGGCGGACGGGUGAGGAAUACAUCGGAAUCUACUUUUUCGUGGGGGAUAACGUAGGGAAACUUACGCUAAUACCGCAUACGACCUACGGGUGAAAGCAGGGGAUCUUCGGACCUUGCGCGAUUGAAUGAGCCGAUGUCGGAUUAGCUAGUUGGCGGGGUAAAGGCCCACCAAGGCGACGAUCCGUAGCUGGUCUGAGAGGAUGAUCAGCCACACUGGAACUGAGACACGGUCCAGACUCCUACGGGAGGCAGCAGUGGGGAAUAUUGGACAAUGGGCGCAAGCCUGAUCCAGCCAUACCGCGUGGGUGAAGAAGGCCCUCGGGUUGUAAAGCCCUUUUGUUGGGAAAGAAAAGCAGCAGGUUAAUACCCCGCUGUUCUGACGGUACCCAAAGAAUAGGCACCGGCUAACUUCGUG